rnacentral:rRNA from 1 species
UACGAAGGGGACUAGCGUUGUUCGGAAUUACUGGGCGUAAAGGGCCAGUAGGCGGCCAACUAAGUCGGAUGUGAAAUCCCCAGGCUUAACCUGGGAACUGCAUCCGAUACUGGAUGGCUUGAAUUCGGGAGAGGGAUGCAGAAUUCCAGGUGUAGCGGUGAAAUGCGUAGAUAUCUGGAGGAAUACCGGUGGCGAAGGCGGCAUCCUGGACCGACAUUGACGCUGAACGGCGAAAGCUAGGGGAGCAAACGGG